AGAGAGAGACAUGCGCGCAUAUCAAUAAGCGGAGGAAAAGAAACUAACAAGGAUUCCCUUAGUAACGGCGAGUGAAGCGGGAAGAGCUCAAAUUUGAAAUCUUCAAGGUUCUACCUUGACGAAUUGUAGUUUAUAGAAGUGUUUUCUGUUAGUGGAGUGGCAAAAGUUCUUUGGAAUAGGACAUCAUAGAGGGUGAGAAUCCCGUAUUUGGUCAUUCCUCCUAGCGUUGUGAUACACUUUCAACGAGUCGGAUUGUUUGGGAAUGCAGUCCAAAAUGGGUGGUAAAUUUCAUCUAAAGCUAAAUAUUGGCGAGAGACCGAUAGCGAACAAGUACCGUGAGGGAAAGAUGAAAAGAACUUUGAAAAGAGAGUUAAACAGUACGUGAAAUUGUCAAAAGGGAAGCGUUUGACACCAGUGUUGUUUUUCCGAAAAUCAAUUACGAAUGUUUUAUUUUGAGGAGUUAUGACUUCAUCGGCUUGCUCCUUUCUUUAUGAAACUUUCUUAAUGCACUUUUCGGUUAACAAGUCAACAUCAAUUUCUUUUGUUGUAAAAGGGUAUGAGGAAGGUGGCUUUCUUUUCGGAGAAAGUGUUUAUAGCCUUGUGCCUCUGCAAUCGGAGAGAUUGAGGUCUGCAGCGUAGAUCCUUCGGGGUUAGAUACGUUUGUGCUAAGUUAUAGCUUUUCAUAGACAACUUGUUGACUAUGUUUAGUCUUGUAGCUUACUCGCUGACGCUAUUUUACCUACGCUUAGGAUGUUGAUAGUCACAGCGUGUAC
rnacentral:rRNA from 1 species